GCAUUUUUAGCUCAGCUGGCUAGAGCAUCUGACUCUUAAUCAGAGGGCCGGGGGUUCGAGUCCCCCAAGAUGCA
rnacentral:tRNA from 1 species